rnacentral:tRNA from 1 species
CAUAACCUUCAGGUCACUGGUUCAAAUCCUGUCUCCGCAUG